AUUGAACGCUGGCGGCAGGCCUAACACAUGCAAGUCGAGCGAGCGGCGGACGGGUGAGUAAUGUAUGGGGACUGCCCGAUAGCGGGGGAUAACUACUGGAUACGGUAUCUCAUCCCGCAUACUAUCGGCUUACCCAUAUGGGAUUAGCUAGUAGGUGGGGUAAUGGCUCACCUAGGCGACGAUCCCUAGCCGGUCUCCGAGGAGGAUCAGCCACACUGGGGCUGAGAAACUGCCCAGAAGCCUACGGAGGCAGCAGUGGGGAAUAUUGCACAAAGGGCGGAAGGCUGGUGCAGCCAUGCCGGGUGUAGGAAGAAGGCCCUAGGGUUGGAAAGUACUUUCAGUCGGGAGGCGUGACCGAAAGAAGAAGCACCGGCUAACUCCGUGCCAGCAGCCGCGGUAAUUC
rnacentral:rRNA from 1 species